AUGGACGACAACUCCGCGCACCGCCGCCACCUCCUCCCACUGCCGGGCCCACAUGGACGCCCCCGCGCACCGCCGCCGCGUCCUCCGGCUGCCGGGCCCACAUGGACGCCUACCACUAGACAGUCCAUGCGUGUUCGCCCUCUCAUCCCAUCGCCACCGACCUCUCAUCCCGCCGCCGCCGACCUCUCCUCCUCCAUACACCGCCUCCAGCCCUCGCUCCGACUCCCGCCGGCCCACCCUGCCUCCGUAGCCGCCCGUUUCGUCCCGGGCUUCGGCUACUACCGCGUGCCCCCGCCGCCACCGCCGCCGCUGCCGCCGGCGGCGAGCGGUGGCGCAGGAUCCCAUCACUCGCGCUCGCUGUCGCAACCCCAGUUCUUCUCCAUGGACUUUCUCUUCCGGCCCCCGUACCCCGAUCCGUCUGCGCCAUCAGCGAUCGCGCUCUCCCCGCCGCCGCCGUCGGGCUCAGACCGGGGGGCGUCCGGACUGCCGCCGCCGUCGGGCUCCGAGCGGGGGGCGUCCAGACUGCCGCCGCUGCGGGCGGGGCAUCAGCGGUCGCAGAGCGACGUUCUCCUCGCGUUCUCCUCCCAGCAGAACCUGCCCAUGCCACCUCCGGCGCCGGUGAACGCGGAGGCCCUGGUGGCCGCGAACAACAGCACCCUCGACGGGAUCCUCGGCGCCUACAACAAGAGUACGAAUGGCCUGGGCGCGGUCGGCUCCUCCGGGCCCGUCGGCCAGGAGCAGCGCGACCAGCUGGACAGCCAAGCGCCCGCUUGGAGCCCCGGUGACAGCAGCGAGAACGAAGCCGAGAGCGCGGACGGCAGCUUGCCCAGGCAUUGCCGCAGCUUGUCGGCGGACAGCCUUGUAGGGAAGUUCAAGUUUGGACCGUCCGGCCUGGAGCCGUCCAACUCCAACUCCAACUCCAACCCGCCGCCUCCAUCUCCGGGUCCGGGGCCGGGUGCUGCUGCUCGGCUGGCACGCAGUGGAAGUGGUUCCAUUGGUGGCGCCGCUGCUCUCUUCGCCAAGGAAUUCGCAAACAGUAAGGAAUUCAGUGAAGCAGAGAAGAAGGUUAUCAUGGACAGUGAGCACCUCGCGCAGAUUGUGCUGACCGAUCCUAAGAGGGUCAGGAGGAUCCUAAACAAUCGGCUGUCUGCUGCUAAGUCAAAGGAGCGCAAGGCAAAAUACAUAGUGGAGCUUGAGGGCAAGGUUCAGGUGCUGCAGGGGGAGACUAUGAACUUAUCUGCACAAGUGAAAAUGGUUAAGAAGGGCCAGGCUAGGCUUUCAAUUCACAACCAUGAGAUGAGAAUCAGGCUGCAAGCUUUGGAGGAGCAAGCACAGUUGAAAAAGGCUCUGAACGAAGCAUUGCAUGCUGAGGUCGAACGCCUAAAUCUGGUUGUUGCCGAGGCCAGUAAUCCUCAUAUGCCGAACAGUUCAGAGCAACGGAUGAGCUCCCAGAUGAUUCAGCUUCACCAGCUGCAAAUUCUGAGGCAACCAUCACAGCUCCAGCAAGGUCAGCAACGCCAGCGGAACUUCUAG
rnacentral:rRNA from 1 species